rnacentral:lncRNA from 1 species
GAGUGAUUGUGUGUGUGUGUGAGAGAGAGCGAGAGAGAGAGAGAGAGAACACUCCUGCACUCAUAUUAAGACAAUCUCUAUCUCAGAGGCUUAGGUUCAGAUAAAGCAGCUACUGAGAAGGGAUGGAUGGCUGCUUAUGGCAGUAAGCACCUUCGAUCCGUGUUUUCCAGACAGGAGGACUCUUCUUUGACAGUGAAUCUCGAAUCCCUGUCUCACAGCUCUUUCAGGAUGGGUCGGCUUUUGUGUAAUGCUAAGUGCUUGCACACUGUGCGUCCUGCUGACCCACUUGCCCUUUGCUUCCUUGUGUUGCCUGGUAAAUGAAGCAACUCACACACCAGGUGGAACCCCAGCAUCCGAUAAGAGCCUCUGGAUUCACUAGCGAAGAGGCUCAAACAGGACUGCAUUUUUCAUGGGAUAGCUGGGAAUAAAGAAAUUGAAUCAGAGGAUGAAUUGCUGGCUAGAGAUUUCCACCCCAAACUUAGGGUGUGGCUUUUCCCACUGGGCAGGAUACUAUUUCCCGUGCCUUUGGGGGCAUUUGUCUAUCAGUCUUCAAUGAACCUGUGCUACCAGAAAGUUGUGGCCAUUCCCUACAGGGAGAUCACUCACUCCUAUCUGUGUAACAUUCCCCUGCUAGGUGUAUUCACUCUGUUGUGAAGUAGACACCUGUACUGCUAAGAAGAAACUAGGAGGCAUUUUUAUUUAAGCUAGUUAGCACUCCGUGCCCAUAGUGAAUGCAAAAGCAGGCACAAAGCUCUCCAGGGUGAGAGGAAUCAUGUUCUUUCUAAUGUGACUGUGACCUUGAACCUGGUGCCACACUGAAGACUCCUGGGCUCUGUGUAUGGGAGAUGUCCCCCACUUUAAGUCUGGACUUGUGACCCUGAUGUAAAAAAACAAAAACAAACAAAAAACAAAAAAACCCACUGGACUUCUUUCUCUGUUCAUGAUCUUUCCUGUCUCCCACCCCCUAAAAAAUCUUUUGUGUGUUUUGGUUUUCAGGGUUCGGGGAUUAUUUAUUUAUGAGUGAGUAAGGUUAUAACCUACUUCAAAAGUCAGUGCCCUUUGACUCUGGUUUCAGCUUAAAAAUCUUCCCCUAGAAAAUUCUUUGGCUGUUCAACAGAAUUGCUCAAUGUCAGAUGAGGAAGUAAGGAAAAUAAAUCAGGAACUCCUGAAGGGCCUCGAACUUGCCCUGGCUCACAGAAAUGAUGUCAUCGUUAGGCUUUUAAAUUGCAAAAUCUGUCCGUCCCUCUCCUAGAAACUGUUUGCUUGGUCAUUACUGCCCCAUCAACAGGUCGUUACAGAAAGCUGAUAGGUUUUAGUACAUAGUUUGAAAUCAUGUUACAUUAAACACAGUGCAGUUUAUAUUAUGUAGACAAAGGGAGGGUACAGAGUUGCAGUGACCCUAAGCAACCAAUCUGUGAGACUUCCAGGUUAGAAUACUGUUAAUAUCGGUGGCUGGAAUAUCUUUGUGAAGCCUCAAAACAUUGAAAUUCUCAGUCCUUAUUUCAGAAUUCCCCUUCUGUCCAUAUUUCCGGCCAGUUUUAUACAAUUCUUCCCCCUCCCCACCUUUUAAAUUUGCUUUUUUUUGCUAGAGUCUUGCUAUGUAGUCCAGGGUGGUUUUGAACUGGUAAUCCUCCUGCCUCAGCCUCCUGAGUACUUGGAUUACAGGCCUGUGCCACCGUAUCCAGCCUAUGACAGUAUUUUAACCUGAGCCAAAGAUGGUACACGAACCUUUAGUUUUCUGUGUAUCCGACAGGCCUCUGUCGGAGGGGAAAGUGUGGUGCCAUACGGGUUUGUGGUUAAGCCUAGAAUGUGGAUAAAUCCGAAGGGAUUUCUGGAUUAUAAAAGGUACUGCGUUUUCUUUGUGGAAUAAAAGCAGUCUCUGGGGGUUGGGGAUUUGGCUCAGUGGCAGAGCGCUUGCCUAGGAAGCGCAAGGCCCUGGGUUCGGUCCCCAGCUCCGAAAAAA